rnacentral:rRNA from 1 species
AUUGAACGCUGGCGACAGGCUUAACACAUGCAAGUCGAGCGGGGUGAUGGUGCUUGCACUAUCACUUAGCGGCGGACGGGUGAGUAAUGCUUAGGAAUCUGCCUAUUAGUGGGGGACAACAUCUCGAAAGGGAUGCUAAUACCGCAUACGUCCUACGGGAGAAAGCAGGGGAUCACUUGUGACCUUGCGCUAAUAGAUGAGCCUAAGUCGGAUUAGCUAGUUGGUGGGGUAAAGGCCUACCAAGGCGACGAUCUGUAGCGGGUCUGAGAGGAUGUUCCGCCACACUGGGACUGAGACACGGCCCAGACUCCUAAGGGAGGCAGCAUUGGGGAAUAUUGGACAAUGGGGGGAACCCUGAUCCAGCCAUGCCGCGUGUGUGAAGAAGGCCUUAUGGUUGUAAAGCACUUUAAGCGAGGAGGAGGCUCUUUUGGUUAAUACCCAAGAUGAGUGGACGUUACUCGCAGAAUAAGCACCGGCUAACUCUGUGCCAGCCGCCGCGGUAA